AGGCUCGGCAGCAGAGUUCUUGAUGUGGCUGCAGCACGUGGAAGUUGCUUUUCACUGCAAGGGUUAUCAAGCACUGUAACAGGGAGAGCAGCGAAAAACGACUACACAAAUACGAAAGUAACGGGAAUUGCCACCCAGAAGCCAGAGGAAGCAUCAUCUGCUUCUCCAGGUGCUCUUUGGACAUAAGCUGCUUUCCCAGUGAGAAAGGCAGGAGCCUGAUUCCCGGAGUGAAAUGCACAAGAUGGGCUUUGCUAAAGGAGGAUUUGGACAUCUGGAGCUGGGGCAGGAAUCAGGAGGAUGCCUGACCAAGAAAAGUCCAUUAAUUGGGUGUGAAUACUGAUUGAGGCAGCUCCGGCGCGGCCGCGGCCGCAGCGCAGGAGGAUGGUGCCAUCUAAAGGAGCCCAAGGCA